rnacentral:rRNA from 1 species
GUAGGGGGCAAGCGUUGUCCGGAAUCAUUGGGCGUAAAGCGCGCGUAGGCGGCCUCACAAGUCCGCUGUAAAAGUCAAAGGCUCAACCUUUGAAUGCCAGUGGAAACUGUGUGGCUAGAGUCCGGAAGAGGCGAGUGGAAUUCCUGGUGUAGCGGUGGAAUGCGCAGAUAUCAGGAGGAACACCAACGGCGAAGGCAGCUCGCUGGGACGGUACUGACGCUGAGGCGCGAAAGCGUGGGGAGCAAACAGGAUUAGAUACCCUGGUAGUCCACGCCGUAAACGAUGGGCACUAGGUGUGGGAGGUGUCGACUCCUCCCGUGCCGGCGCUAACGCAUUAAGUGCCCCGCCUGGGGAGUACGGCCGCAAGGCUAAA